AAUAGAUACCCGGGUAGUCCACGCCGUAAACGAUGAGUGCUAAGUGUUAGGGGGUUUCCGCCCCUUAGUGCUGCAGCUAACGCAUUAAGCACUCCGCCUGGGGAGUACGGCCGCAAGGCUGAAACUCAAAGGAAUUGACGGGGGCCCGCACAAGCGGUGGAGCAUGUGGUUUAAUUCGAAGCAACGCGAAGAACCUUACCAGGUCUUGACAUCUCCUGACCGCCCUGGAGACAGGGUCUCCUUCGGGUACGAGAGUGACAGGUGGUGCAUGGUUGUCGUCAGCUCGUGUCGUGAGAUGUUGGGUUAAGUCCGCAACGAGCGCAACCCUUGUCCUUAGUUGCCAGCAUUCAGUUGGGCACUCUAAGGAGACUGCCGGCUAAAAGUCGGAGGAAGGUGGGGAGUGACGUCAAAUCAUCAUGCCCCUUACUGACCUGGGCGUACACACGUGCUACAAUGGGCGGUACAGAGGGUCGCGAACCCGCGAGGGGAGCCAAUCCCAAAAAGCCGCUCUCAGUUCGGAUUGCAGG
rnacentral:rRNA from 1 species